AAAGCCUGGGUGCCCGCGAGGGGAGCCCUAGCACAGGUGCUGCAUGGCCGUCGUCAGCUCGUGCCGUGAGGUGUUGGGUUAAGUCCCGCAACGAGCGCAACCCCCGCCGUUAGUUGCCAGCGGUUCGGCCGGGCACUCUAACGGGACUGCCCGCGAAAGCGGGAGGAAGAGGGGACGACGUCUGGUCAGCAUGGCCCUUACGGCCUGGGCGACACACGUGCUACAAUGCCCACUACAAAGCGAGGCCACCCGGCAACGGGGAGCUAAUCGCAAAAAGGUGGGCCCAGUUCGGAUUGGGGUCUGCAACUCGCCUACAUGAAGUCGGAAUCGCUAGUAAUCGCGGAUCAGCACGCCGCGGUGAAUACGUUCCCGGGCCUU
rnacentral:rRNA from 1 species